rnacentral:rRNA from 1 species
AUGAACGCUGGCGGCGUGCCUAAUACAUGCCAGUCGAGCGAACGGACGAGAAGCUUGCUUCUCUGAUGUUAGCGGCGGACGGGUGAGUAACACGUGGAUAACCUACCUAUAAGACUGGGAUAACUUCGGGAAACCGGAGCUAAUACCGGAUGAUAUUUUGAACCGCAUGGUUCAAAAGUGAAAGACGGUCUUGCUGUCACUUAUAGAUGGAUCCGCGCUGCAUUAGCUAGUUGGUAAGGUAACGGCUUACCAAGGCAACGAUGCAUAGCCGACCUGAGAGGGUGAUCGGCCACACUGGAACUGAGACACGGUCCAGACUCCUACGGGAGGCAGCAGUAGGGAAUCUUCCGCAAUGGGCGAAAGCCUGACGGAGCAACGCCGCGUGAGCGAUGAAGGUCUUCGGAUCGUAAAACUCUGUUAUUAGGGAAGAACAUAUGUGUAAGUAACUGUGCACAUCUUGACGGUACCUAAUCAGAAAGCCACGGCUAACUACGUG